rnacentral:rRNA from 1 species
UACGGAGGAUCCAAGCGUUAUCCGGAAUUACUGGGCGUAAAGCGCGCGCAGGCGGUUUUGUAAGUCAGAUGUGAAAUCCCCGGGCUUAACCUGGGAAUGGCAUUUGGGACUGCAAGACUCGAGUGCGGCAGAGGAGACUGGAAUUCCUGGUGUAGCAGUGAAAUGCGUAGAUAUCAGGAGGAACACCGAUGGCGAAGGCAGGUCUCUGGGCUGAAACUGACGCUCAUGCACGAAAGCGUGGGGAGCAAACAGG